CAUAAUCCGACUGGGCGGACGUCAGAUUACGUAAUUAAUAUUCAUGAGACAAGCUCUUUUAGAUCUUGGCCAAACACACAGAUCUUCACAAACGUCGGUCAGAGAGUUUGAUAACUACAACGCUUCAUCAUGGCAGAUGAAAAGGUAAAGAAGUCAGAGGGCAAACAAGUCGAGGGAAUCUUUGGGUUUGGAAAGAAGGAUAAAGACAAAGACAAGAGCAAAGACAAGAGUGAUGAUAAGGAUAAAGAUAAGCACAAAGAUAAAGAACAUAAAGACAAGAAGAAGAAAGACAAGGAGCACAAGAAGAAGGACGGUGACAAGUCCUCGUCUUCCUCCAGCGAUUCGGACUAAAGCAAGACUGAAGAUUCAUCAGAUACCUCCAAAAUCAUAAUUUAAAAUCUUUAUUAUAUGAUUUUUGUAGAUGUAUAACUGCAAUAUUAUGCAAUGCAGGGGUAGUAAUAAAUAAUUAUCAAUCUCUUGAAGUUUUCAUAAAGUUUGAGCUGUAAUUACAAACGUCCACAAGGUGGCGCUACUUGCAUGCCAAAUCUUCAGUGAAGCACUGGAAUAAAGAGACUUAUCAGCUAUUGUGUGUAAAAGUGAUUUCUGGUUUAAUAUAUUCUGAAAUUUGAAAACUUUUCAUCCAUUUUGUCUGAUAUUAACUUUCAGUGGUUGCUGGUUGGUGAACUAUUAUUGUUUUAAAUCUUGGCCAGUUUGUUGUACAAAUGUAGGCCAUGUUUGAGUGUGUAAUAAUCAAAUUUAAAGCAUUCAGCACAAAUUAACUGAUAUAUAUUAUCAAAAUAAAGCUUUAUCUAGUAACUCAGUUAAUUAGAAAUAGGUUAAAGAGUGUUAGGUUAUCCCACACCCUCUGAUUUUCACCAUGAAAAUGGAAAAAGUCAGUUGUCAACAUGACAAUAUCUUUGUCUAAACAGCACACUUAUGCAAAUGCAUGGUGGAUUUUGAAGGUUUCAGCACAGCUCUGUCUUGUUUGAGCACGAUUUGUUUGCUUAUUCAUCUAUGUUUGAGUACGGCACAGAUAAUUCAUCUGAACAGCAGGGACGAAACACGG
rnacentral:lncRNA from 1 species